CCCAGAGGCAGGGAGCCCACCAACGGUGUGGGGCCCAAGAGCUUCGUGGGGCCCAAAAAUCAGGGCCCCACAAAGAUUAGCUAUUUAAACUAGCAUAACAGACCCCCCUGACAUGCCUCCUGCUUUUUUUUCACUUUCCCCACAAGGUGACAAUUUCUGGAAAUGUGUGUGUCAACUGUGUGUGCUCUCUAGCGAUCCCAGAGGCUUGGGGCUGUUACUACAAGUAUACACACUUCAGAAAGUGUGUAUCUUUAGAACCAAUAAGAACGCGUUCUCAACUGAGUGACGAUGAAACCUCCAAUGAUGAUCAGGGUCACAAUUAACAAUAAAUAACACUGAACUUGAUUGGCUGUAUGUAAAAACAGCAACUAAUUUGGGCUGGAUCUCCACUUCCCUAAUAUGGAUAUGGUCUGUUUGGCACCGACAAGCAAGUUCGUCAUGACAGCACAUGAGCCAUAAUGAUAAAAAGGAAGAAAAGGAUCCAUCCUACUGAGGAGGCAAAGUUAUACAUACAGUCUUCUACGGACAAGCCAGGGUUUAUAGAAAGAUUUAUCGAUAGUUGCAAAGGAAUAGGAGUAUUCGCUGCCCAGCCCAUUGAUCCAGGCACCUUUGUCUUGGAGUACAGAGGUGAGCUAAUAUCUGUGGAGGAAUGCCGGUCCAGAUGUUACUCAGAGAGAGAGAGUACAUUUCUCUUUGAAUUUGAAUGGCAGAAUCGUCGGUGGUGUAUUGAUGCAUCCAAAGAGGAUAAAUCCCUUGGAAGACUGGUUAAUGACAACCACAGAUGUCCAAACUGCACCAUGAAAAAAAUUGUGGUGAAUGGGAGACCACAUUUCUGCCUGUUUUCUGUAGUGAAAAUAGAAGUAGGGACUGAAAUUAAUUACAACUAUGGGGAUUCUAAAUGGCCAUGGCGUAAAAAAAUGACAAAGAUGCAGACCUCUGCAGGGACAGCUGAGACUGUGUUGUCCUCCACAGAGCAGCC